rnacentral:rRNA from 1 species
UCGAGCGAGAAAGCCCGCAAGGGUGAGUAAAGCGGCGCACGGGUGAGUAACACGUGGGUAAUCUGCCCUGGAGUCCGGAAUAACUCGCCGAAAGGCGUGCUAAUGCCGGAUGAGACCACGGGGGCCUCGGCCCUCGCGAGAAAAGGUGGCCUCUGUACACAAGCUAUCGCUCCAGGAUGAGCCCGCGUCCCAUCAGCUCGUUGGCGGGGUAACGGCCCACCAAGGCUACGACGGGUAGCUGGUCUGAGAGGACGAUCAGCCACACUGGAACUGAGACACGGUCCAGACUCCUACGGGAGGCAGCAGUGGGGAAUCUUGCGCAAUGGGCGAAAGCCUGACGCAGCAACGCCGCGUGUGUGAUGAAGGUCUUCGGAUCGUAAAGCACUGUCGCGAGGGACGAAUAAGGCUUCGGCCAACACCCGGAGACGAUGACGGUACCUCGAGAGGAAGCACCGGCUAACUCUGUGCCAGCAGCCGCGGUAAUACAGAGGGUGCUAGCGUUGUUCGGAAUUAUUGGGCGUAAAGCGCGUGUAGGCGGUCCAUCAAGUUGGGUGUGAAAGCCCUCGGCUUAACCGAGGAAGUGCGCCCAAAACUAGUGGACUCGAGUACCGGAGAGG